UGAAAUGAUCAUAUAUGAUAGUGUUA
rnacentral:piRNA from 1 species